rnacentral:rRNA from 1 species
UGAGAGGACGACCAGCCACACUGGCACUGAGAUACGGGCCGAGACUCCUACGGGAGGCAGCAGUGAGGAAUAUUGCGCAAUGGGGGAAACCCUGACGCAGCAACGCCGCGUGUGGGAAGAAGGCCUUCGGGUCGUAAACCACUUUUGCACGGGACGAAAAAGGGAUAUCGAACAAAUAUCCCCGAUGACGGUACCGUGAGAAUAAGCCACGGCUAACUCUGUGCCAGCAGCCGCGGUAAGACAGAGGUGGCAAGCGUUGUUCG